GACCGAACUACCCUCACUUCUUCCUUCCUCCUCCUUCCUGGUUCCUGCCGCACACGCCUUAUCCAUUUGCUCUACUCUCGCAAAACCUAGAUCGGGCUAGGGGCGGAACAGCACCAGCGGCAGGGUAAAGGGCGACCUAGGCGCGGGCUCGCGCGGGCAUUGGCGCCGGCGCGAGGCGCCCCAGCGCGCAGCCAGGCAGCGGCCGGCGUGAGGCGCCCCCUGCGGCCUGCGUGGCCAGGCGGCAGCACCCCCUGCGCGGCCAACUCCGGUCACUACAGUACUGAGCUCAACAUGGAAGAGGCUAGACCAAACCACAGAGAUUUGCAACUUAUUGUUAGAGUGAGGUUAUUUUUUCAGCUUGCCUGAUGGGGGGCCGAAGACAUGGCUGCAGGGUAGAACAUUGCGAACUCAAAUUGUUCACGCACAUAACUAUGAACUGAUGCAAUUAGUUGAUUUCAUUGCUGAACAUUACAUGUGGGGUUCAAAGCAGCGUAUAAUAUUGUGGCAUGAUUUGGACAUUGAGUCUACUGAGAUAACAUCUGAUGAGCAGCGGCUUGAGUGGUUUCAAGUAAAUCUAGAGAAGGGAGUAGUCCAAAUCAUUGCCAGAUAAAUGAUUUCGAGGGCCUAUUACAGUUUUCACCAACGAAACGUAGGUGUCACCCUUCUUUAAGGAAUAGAGGACCCACAAAUGAGGGAGCCACAAGUGAGAGAACCGUAAAUGUGAGAGCCACAGUGAGUCAGCCACAAAUGUGAGAGCCAAAUCCACAUCUAACAAGAAGAGAACCACAUACGUGAGUGUAGGGAGUUGAUGAGGAGGGCAUUUACUCUGACAAAGAUUCACUUAUGGCACCAAGAGAUAGCAGCUAUGACACUGAUUUGGCUGCAUCUUCAGACUCUGAACUCUGGUGAUGAUUGCUCUAACCCAGAGUUUGAUCCUGAUAGUGAAAUAGUUGAUGACGUUGAUGAGUUUGAUCCUCCCCUUUUCAUAUAAUGUUGAUGAUCCAUGUAUUAAUGUCAAUGUGGUGUUCCUAGAUGUGGAUCAAUGCAAAUCAGCGAUUACCCAUCAUGCCCUGGAGUGCAACACAGAGAGUGCAUGAGGCACUUGUGGAAGAACAUGAAGAAGAAUAUGUGGUGAGCUUUAUGGUAAGAAUACGUGGUGUGCUGCUAAGAGCUUUACAACUGACAAGUUCAACUAUUUUAUGGGAAAGAUAGAGGAAAAGGAUCCUGGUGCACUUGCCUAGUUGGAUGACACUCAUCCAUAUGUGUAGAGUAGAAGCAAAUUCAAUGAAGAUUGCAAGGUAGAUUACAUCAACAACAACCUCUCUGAAUGCUUUAAUAGUUGGGUGUCGAAAUGCAAGGAUUAUCAAAUUGUAGAUAUGCAUGAUAGGAUAAGACAAAUGAUCAUUGAGAAAUUUAUUUUGAGAGCCAAGAUUGGUAGUAAAAUGUCUGGAGUACUCAUCCCUUUUAUUAUCAAGGCUCUAAAUGCUAAAUCCAAGACUAUCAAAGAUCAUGAUGUGCUAAUAUGUGAGGCUGGAACAGCUGAAGUAACCGUGAACGGAUUUAGGCAUGCAGUCAACUUGCAGCAAAAGAUAUGUAGUUGUAGGUUUGGCAAGUGACUGGAAAGCCCUGCAGCCAUGCUUUAGCUUUCAUUGCAAAGCUAAGUAGGGAUGUACAAAUGGAUGACUUUGUCCAUGAAUACUUUUCUGUUCACAGGUUUAGAAAGGCUUAUGCCUCUAUUUUCAAUCCAAUGACAUCUAAGGAUAGCUGGCCACGUGCUGAUUUAGGCUACAAAAUUAAGAAGCCCAAGUUGAGAAGGAAAUCUGGGAGACCAAGAAAAUCUAGGAUCAAGGUAUGAAGACAUGAAGCCCAAGUUGAGACACACUUCUAUUCCUAUCAUAUGAAGGAGAAGUGCAAGUGCAAGUGGAACAGGAAGGGGAAGGGGAAGGGGAGGAGGAAGGGCAAGUGGAACAGGGGGAGAAGAGGACGGGGAAGGGGGGGGGGGGGGGGGGGGGGGGGGCGGGGGAGCUAGAGGAAGAGGAAGCUCAAGGAGCUUGGCUGCAUUGUUGGGCAUAGAUGAUUGAAACUGAUGUCUGUCAUUUUGUUGGUGCUCGGCUGUACUAUUUGGUGCUUUUGUUGGAUAUGUAUGCUAAUAUGUGAUCUGGACAAGAUGUGAUGAUAUCUGGACAUGAUAGGAUAUGAUAUGGUGCUUUUAUUGGACAUACGUGUGUGUGCUGUUGCUUUCCAAUAUAUAUAUGACCUGGUGGUUUUGUUGGAUA